AUAGGCCAGUGGUUUUUCUCCGGGUACUCCGGCUUUCCUCCACCUCCAAACCUGGCACGUCCUUAAAUGACCCUGGCUGUUAAUAGGACGUUAAACAUUAAACUAAACAAACUCUAGAACAAAUAAGUAGGACCUCUAUACCCUAGAACAAAUAAGUAGGACCUCUAUACCCUAGAACAAAUAAGUAGGACCUCUAUACCCUAGAACAAAUAAGUAGGACCUCUAUACCCUAGAACAAAUAAGUAGGACCUCUAUACCCUAGAACAAAUAAAUAGGACUUCUAUACCCUAGAACAAAUAAGUAGGACUUCUAUACCCUAGAACAAAUAAGUAGGACCUCUAUACCCUAGAACAAAUAAAUAGGACUUCUAUACCCUAGAACAAAUAAGUAGGACCUCUAUACCCUAGAACAAAUAAGUAGGACCUCUAUACCCUAGAACAAAUAAGUAGGACCUCUAUACCCUAGAACAAAUAAGUAGGACCUCUAUACCCUAGAACAAAUAAGUAGGACUUCUAUACCCUAGAACAAAUAAGUAGGACCUCUAUACCCUAGAACAAAUAAGUAGGACCUCUAUAUCCUCUAGAACAAAAAAAAUAGGACCGCUAUAUCCUCUAGAACAAAUAAGUAUGACCACUCUGAAUAUGAGGAGAUGAUUCUACUCUCAAAAUAGAAAUAGAACUGUUAUACUAUAAAUCUGGAACACUGCUAUAAUUUUGGACAAAAAGCAAAACUGCUAUACUCGCAGACAAAAUCAAAGCUGCUAUACUCUCGGACAAAAAGUAACAAUACAAAAUUACAAUACUCUAAAAAUUUCAUAAUGUAGAAUACUGAAGUUUUCUACUUCAGUAAAAUAAAAAAUAGAUUGCUUUCUGUCAGAAAUACAAAUUAUAUAGAACUGCUAACAGUACUGCUAAGCUCUAGUAAAUAGGUAAGUCUGCUAAACAGCAAUGCAAUGUACUCAGAAAUAUUUUAUUUUUCAAUUUUUAGAAAAUUUGUUUACAGUUUGAUUUUGGCUUUAAUGUUUACCAUGCAAAAAUAUACAACUGUUUUAACUGAUAUUGAAAGGAUGUUUUCAGGACAAAUUUCUUCCCUUUAUUAGCAAUCCUUGAGAAGUAGACUUUAAAAAAAAAAACUGUACAUCAGCUAUAGCCACACAUAUCUUACUGACUCAAACAUUUCAGAGUAGUUUGUGUUUACGCCAUGUUUGUCUAUGAUUAUAUGUUUCUGUUCGAUUCUGUUUUCUGUUAUGUUAAAUCCUCAAUCCCCAGUCCUAGGUUUGGUCCUCAGUCCCCAAUCCUAGGUUUGGUCCUCAGUUCCCAGUCCUAGGUUUGGUCCUCCAUCCCCAAUCCUAGGUUUGGUCCUCCAUCCCCAAUCCUAGGUUUGGUCCUCAGUUCCCAGUCCUAGGUUUGGUCCUCCGUCCCCAGUCCUAGGUUCGGUCCUCAGUCUCAGUCAUGGGUUUGGUCCUCCGUCCCCAGUCCUAGGUUCGGUCCUCAGUUCCCAGUCCUAGGUUUGGUCCUCAGUUCCCAAUCCUAGGUUUGGUCCUCAGUUCCCAGUCCUAGGUUUGGUCCUCAGUCCCCAAUCCUAGGUUUGGUCCUCAGUUCCCAGUCCUAGGUUUGGUCCUCCAUCCCCAAUCCUAGGUUUGGUCCUCCAUCCCCAAUCCUAGGUUUGGUCCUCAGUUCCCAGUCCUAGGUUUGGUCCUCCGUCCCCAGUCCUAGGUUCGGUCCUCAGUCUCAGUCAUGGGUUUGGUCCUCCGUCCCCAGUCCUAGGUUCGGUCCUCAGUUCCCAGUCCUAGGUUUGGUCCUCAGUUCCCAAUCCUAGGUUUGGUCCUCCGUCCCCAGUCCUAGGUUUGGUCCUCAGUCCCCAGUCCUAGGUUUGGUCCUCAGUCCCCAGUCCUAGGUUUGGUCCUCAGUCCCCAGUCCUAGGUUUGGUCCUCAGUCCCCAGUCCUAGGUUUGGUCCUCAGUUCCCAGUCCUAGGUUUGGUCCUCUGUCCCCAGUCCUAGGUUUGGUCCUCAGUUCCCAGUCCUAGGUUCUGUCCUCAGUUCCCAAUCCUAGGUUUGGUCCUCUGUCACGAAUCCUAGGUUUGGUCCUCAGUUCCCAGUCCUAUGUUUGGUCCUCAGUCCCUAGUCCUAGGUUUGGUCCUCUGUGACAGAUCCUAGGUUUGGUCCUCUGUUCCAAGUCCUAGGUUUGGUCCUCAGUCCUCAGUCCUAUGUUUGGUCCUCAGUCCCAAGUUUGGUCCUCUGUCCCCAAUCCUCGGUUUGGUCCUCAUUUCCCACUCCCAAGGUUUGGUCUUUAGUCCAAAGUCCUAGGUUUUCCUCGGUUUCUAGUCCAAUGUUUUGUCCUCAUUCCCCAAUCCGAGCUUUUGUCCUCAGUCCUAGGUUUGGUCCUCAGUCCUAAGUUUGGUCCUCUGUUCCCAAUCCUAUGUUUGGUCCUUUGUCCCCAGUCAAAUGUUAAGUUCUCAGUCCCCAGUGUUAGGUUUGGUCCUUUGUCCCAAGUCCUAUGUAUGGUCCUAAGUCCCCAGUCCUAUGUUUGGUCCUCAGUCCCCAGUCCUCGGUUUGGUCCUUUGUACCAAAUCCUGUUUGGUCCUCAUUUCCCAGUCCUAAGUUUGGUCCUCAGUCCUAUAUUUGGUCCCCAGUCCUCGGUUUGGUCCUUUGUACCAAAUCCUGUUUGGUCCUCAGUCCCUAGUCCUAGGUUUGGUCCUCAGUCCUAUUUUGAUCCACAGUCCCCAGUCCUAUGUUUGAUCCUUAUUUCCCAGUUCUAUGUUUAGUCCUCAGUCCUAGGUUUGGUCCUCAGUCACCAGUCCUAUAUUUGGUCCUUUGUCCCAAGUCCUAUGUUUGGUCCUAAGUCCCCAGUCCUGUUUGGUCCUUUGUCCCAAGUUCUAAGUUUAGUCCCCAGUCCUCGGUUUGGUCCUUUGUACCAAAUCCUGUUUGGUCCUCAGUCCCCAGUCCUAUGUUUGGUCCUCAGUCCCCAGUCCUCGGUUUGGUCUUUGUACUAAAUCCUGUUUGAUCCUCAGUCCUAGGUUUGGUCCUCAGUCCUAUUUUGAUCCACAGUCCCCAGUCCUUUGUUUGGUCCUUUUUUACCCAGUUCUAUGUUUAGUCCUCAGUCCUAGGGUUGGUCCUCAGUCACCAGUCCUAUGUUUGGUCCUUUGUCCCCAGUCCUUAGUUUGGUCCUCAGUCCCCAGUCUUAUUUUUGGUCCUCAUGUUAAUUGUCUAGUUUUUGUAUGCUUAUUAAAUUCAGUUUAUUAUACAUACAUUUGCUGUUAGGACUAAAUCUUCUCUAAUUCAGUAACUUAUUGUAAAGUAUUAUCUAUUAUUUUAAUUACAAUAAAUUAUUAUCCAUUCUUUAACAUUUAAACAUAAACAAAAAAAAAAUUAUCUAAAAAUUUCCAGGAAA